ACUCAACGUUAAUUCUUUAAAAAGGGUGAGUUUAAAUUGUAAAAGCAUGCUGCUAAUACAUUAUGUAUUUGGGCAGAUCCUUGAUCAGUUUGUUAGCCCUAAACUUGUUUUUAAGGAGUUU
rnacentral:sRNA from 1 species